AAGCGGGAAACUAGCUUCAAGAUAAGUAUUCUAAGAGGAAGCUUCGAGAACAGGAGCUGGAUAGGUUGGGGGUGUACGCGCAGUAAUGUGUUUAGCUGACCAAUACUAAUCGAACGAAAUUUUAAUCGG
rnacentral:rRNA from 1 species